GGAUCAGCAGCCGUCGCUGUGAGUCAUUCUUUGUUUCCAGCAGCAGUGAUCCGGGUCAGCUCCGUCAGAACACACUCUUAGAUGUGAGAGGACGUGUGUGUGUCGUCUGUCAGCGUUUCUGCUGUGAGUCUGUCUCAGCUUUGAUGUUUGUCUGUGAAACUGGAAACAGACGUGUUGCUGCACUUUAUCUCUCGGACACAAACUUUAUUGAUCCCUGCAGGAAAACAGCUUCGUACCAUCUCCCAACAGAACAGGAAGCAGGUGAAGGUAGAAAGUGUGUGUGAGCUGAUGUGAAUUCAGCAGCAUGGAUCAGUGUGAGGACAGAGAGGAGGGAGUCCCUCCCUCUAAAACCACUCUGUGUGGGGAACAUGAGAGCCAGAGCAAAGAUCAGAGGAACACACCUGGACCUGGACCUGGACCUGGACCUAGACCCGGACCCAGCUGUGUGUCCUUUAAGAGCGACAUGUCAAAGGAAUC